AGUCGAGGGGUAUAGGAAGCUUGCUUCCUAGAGACCGGCGCACGGGUGCGUAACGCGUAUGCAAUCUACCUUUUGCAGAGGGAUAGCCCAGAGAAAUUUGGAUUAAUACCUCAUAGUAUAUAUGAAUGGCAUCAUUUAUAUAUUAAAGUCACAACGGCAAAAGAUGAGCAUGCGUCCCAUUAGCUAGAUGGUAAGGUAACGGCUUACCAUGGCUACGAUGGGUAGGGGUCCUGAGAGGGAGAUCCCCCACACUGGUACUGAGACACGGACCAGACUCCUACGGGAGGCAGCAGUGAGGAAUAUUGGACAAUGGGCGCAAGCCUGAUCCAGCCAUGCCGCGUGCAGGAUGACGGUCCUAUGGAUUGUAAACUGCUUUUGUACGGGAAGAAACCCUCCUACGUGUAGGAGCUUGACGGUACCGUAAGAAUAAGGAUCGGCUAACUCCGUGCCAGCAGCCGCGGUAAUACGGAGGAUCCAAGCGUUAUCCGGAAUCAUUGGGUUUAAAGGGUCCGUAGGCGGUUUAGUAAGUCAGUGGUGAAAGCCCAUCGCUCAACGGUGGAACGGCCAUUGAUACUGCUAGACUUGAAUUAUUAGGAAGUAACUAGAAUAUGUAGUGUAGCGGUGAAAUGCUUAGAGAUUACAUGGAAUACCCAUUGCGAAGGCAGGUUACUACUAAUGGAUUGACGCUGAUGG
rnacentral:rRNA from 1 species